UCCAAACCGCUGCUGUGGGAUGGCGAUCUGUGGACUGUCAGGGAAAAAAGUGACCAAACACGAACAACACAGGCAGAAUAUGCUGUUGCACUUAUUUACAUCCUGAUUGGUUGAAGUUUGAAGAUGGAAAAGUCCUGCUGCUUCCUCUCAUGGUGGGAAACCCGCCGCUUUGUCCGGUUAUCAGCUGCGGCAUAAACCAGCAGACGCAAAAUGAGUACAUACUGUAGAGAUCCGUCUCAUCAAGAAUCUCCGACUUGAUGAUCUCCUCAAUCACGUCCUCCAAGGUGACGAUGCCCAUCACCUCGUAGAACGGGUCGCCCUCGCCCUCGUUGUUCACGCGCUGCACGAUGGCGAGGAUUCUCAUAUUAAAGAGGAAAAACUGGCUGCAUUUUCUGCUGCAGUGGCGGGAAGCAUUCCUGCAGAGAGCAAAAGAGAUAAUCCUCUAUGUAGAUUAUCUCAUCCAGGUCAUCUACAGGCAGAGAGCCUUCAAUAUUUAUUCAACUUCUGGAGCUCCUAAAAAAAUCGCUGCAUGUUUAGCAGAUUGGCAAAGUCUCUGCAUUGUUAAAUAAAUAAAUAAAAAGACUAAUAAUCUGUUCGACGUUUCCUGUAGACAGAAUCUGCCUCCUCCAUUUACUGCUGUCCUCACCACAAACCCAACAGAAGGAAAAGUGCUGAGUCUGCAGCAUUCAUGGACAUGCGGAAAGCCGGUGGAAAGCAGGGAGCUCUGUGAUUGGCUGGAGCGGACCCCACCCACAGAAAAAUCCUGACUGAGUCCGCAGAGCCUCUGCAAACUGGGCAUGACUCUUCGUUUUGGUGCAGGGCGGGAUGUGCCUGCUCAGGCUGCAGGUUCUCACACUUUCUGAUGCAAGA